rnacentral:lncRNA from 1 species
CAGAUGGACCGGAAUAACCUGCUGGUGGGUAUCCCUGUGGAGGGUACCCUUGAGGAUAUCCCCCAGGUGCUGGGGGGUAACCUUGAGGUGGGUACGCCCCAGGUGGUGGAGGGUAUCCAGAGUGGUGUCCUGGUGGAUAAUGUCCAUGUGCCAAGUCCGAAAAGAAUCCUUUCUCAUCAUGCUUGUCCUUCCCACCUCCCAUUUUCUUCAGUAAAGCAGAUGAUGCACAAAUCAGUCGAUAAAACCUGUUGUGUUAGUUCAAAAUAUAACCAUGAAAGAAAUUUCAAGUUGAGGCUUUCACUGGACAAAUAUUAACCAAAAUAGUGCCACAUUGUCCAACAACUAGUUAAUAU